CAGCAGAAUAUAUCUAAACUCAAGAUUUCCAAUGGCAAUAAGGCUGUGAAAGAAACUGUAAGAAGGACAGGAAAUCACUGUGCAAAAGGCAUAACAGAAAACCAUGUAGCCCACUAGCCUUGGACGUGAUAAAAUAUUUGUGACAGAUAUCUUGAAAAUGCUACAUUCUAUCACCCUAUGCGUACAAAGGCUCCAUAUUGCAACCUACAAGCACAGCUUCAGCUGUUGGUGAAAGAACAUGCUGCAGAACUAAGGGAGAAGCCAGCCUUAUCAGCCAAAGCAAAAGUGAUAAACGACCUUGCCACAGAUGUCAUAUGGCUCUCCAAUGGCACUGCCAGAUUCACAAGGUUCCCCCGACUGCAAACUAUCACCUCAAAGAAAAUCAAAUCAUCAGCAUUAUUUUCUCACCUAUUAAGAGUCAGCUUCACACUUAGUAGCUGAAUAGAAAUUACUGCUUUGUAAAAAUAAGGAAGUUAUGUUGGGGACAGCUGAAAAAAAUAAUUGAGCUAAAUCACAGAAUAGUCAGUUACUAAAUCAUUUAUUCAUAUAAUAAAUAGCUUUGCUUUUUGCUGUCAUAAAGGUAUCAAUUGAUAGGAGUACCAGAAAGCAUAUUGAAGAAAGAACAUGUUCUGGUUAACCAUAAAAAGCCACCACAUAUCACUACAGUGAAGAAUGCAGCAUUCAAAUUUCUAAGUAGAGAGAGGAGAAAAAAAUACUGUAUAGUAUCAGGAAGGGAGAUUAUGCUCAGAAUGUAAAAUCUGAGUAAGCAAAUAUCUGAAUUGAAGUCCCAACCGUUUUUCCAAGAGAUAAUGAAAAGAAGUUUAAUUGGGGAUUGGGGGAAGGGAAAUGGAAUUAUAUUUGUAUCACUCUUUAUAAGGUGAAGAUUGAAGAUAGACUGGAGGAAGGAGAUUUAAAUUGGGUGCAGAAAUCACCAACUAAUUAGUAGCAGGCACGGUGUAUUAAAUGAAUGAAGAGUAUCAAAGAUAUCAAAAACAUAAUUAAGUCAUUCAAAAAGCAUAAUUAUCAGCAGAUACAUGCAGUUUAUAGUGGGACUGAAUGUAAAUUAAAUGAUUUUGCUCUAGCUAAUUAUUUUUCACUACGAAGCUGUAGCUCCUGCAACGGUUCACAUAGUAAAUUAAAAUAGAUUUCUGGGAUAUAAGCAUGUUGGGCAGAUUGAUGAGCAGAGGCUCUAACAUUUUUUUGAUGUAUUGUCUAAUAUCAGUGAAGAUUAUAAAAAUAUGACUGUGAUGACAUAUCUCAGUGUGAUUAGUUUUGUCACUCUGUAUCAGGGGUGUUAAUCUUAGGAAACUGCAUGGAAGCAAAGGGACAUUGAUCCUGGGGCUUAGAGUAUAUAACAUUGUCUUGCAUUAUUACAAGUGCCACUCACUAAGUGUGUCACUGCACAAUAUGGAGCUCAUAGCUAGAAUCUAAUAAAUAAUAAAUACAUAGAUCCCAGAUAAGUA